rnacentral:lncRNA from 9 species
AUGCAGCUGGAAUUUCAGGUGUGUCACCCUGGAGCUGAGGCCUCCAGAUGGACUCGUAGAAGGGAGAUGUGUAAGGCUCCAUCCCUCAGCAGCCCACGAUCUCUGAAGGUUUGCCACUGUGGCCAAUGUUUUAUGGAAGCUUCUGAGGCCGUAGAGCAGAGGGAAGUUCUGAGCACACGGAGGACAAGCCAGGGUGGUGCUGUGUGGCCGCAAACAACCCUAAGUAGGGGAUACGUGUGGGGGACAGGCUCUAACACCUUGAUUCCUUAUGUCUGUGUCUCUGCAGUAUGUUUCAUGGAGAGUCUGAGUGACAGCAACCAUGAUGAAAGUGAUACAGACUCAGUGGUGGAGAGCCUGAGCAGCCGCCAGGAUGAGGAGGCUGCAGCAACCCUCGAUGAUGUUGUGGAGGCCGGCGGGAGUGAGAAGACGGAGGAAGAGGCCCUGGCUGGGGCAAAUGAGGAGGAGGUGGGGCCGGGAACUGAGAAGGUGCAGGAGGAGGCUGCCUGCAUUGACGAGGCAGAGGAGGAGGCAGGCCCAUCCCUUGAAAAUGACGAGGAGUCCCCAGCCAGCGACCUGGUUGAGCAGGAAGACCAGCUUGCCCCCAAGGUGGACGGGAUGGACGAUGAAAGCCUAUGUUUCAUGGAGAGUCUGAGUGACAGCAACCAUGAUGAAAGUGAUACAGGUAAGAACAGCUCUCAGGUAGGAGCCAAUGGGAGAGGGAUCCCGGGACACUUGGGUGACGCCUGCUGCUUGGAGUGUGGGGCAGGUGAGUCUGAAACUUAAAAACAGAAAGAAAUUGAUGUAAAGAUGUUCACCGCCUACUUUAAUAAGGAGAGGGAGCAGAUAUGAGAUGCCUGAAUGUUGGCAUCUGUGCUCACCUUGUGUGGAAGGGUCUCAGUCCAUGGAGCAGAGGGAAGGUCUGGGCACCUGGAGGAAAAACCAGGGUGAUGCUCUGUACCCGUAGUCACCUCAGGGAAGCCGGAGAAACGGGAGGGCCACUCUUUCUAACUCCUUGAUUCCCCUGAUGGUGUGUUUCUACAGACUCAGUGGUGGAGAGCCUGAGCAGCCGCCAGGAUGAGGAGGCUGCAGGUAGGGAAGAGCACGCAGCUGGGAUCCAGUGGGAGAGGGUUCCUGGGAGCACCUGGGUUCCGCCUGCUGCCGGGAGAGGGAGGAAGUGGGGGAUAGGACUUGGCGGGUGGGUGGGUGGGUGGCCUAAUGAGUGGCACUCUGCUGUGGUGUUUUCCCCUGUGAAAUGGAUACCACGAAGAAGACUUGGGUCCCUGGUCUUUGUUGUGCUGUGUUUGUAUU